rnacentral:SRP_RNA from 13 species
UGCGGAAGACAGCAGCCCUCGCGCGGCCCUCCGAUGCCGUGGGUGGCU